GUGCCAGCAGCCGCGGUAAUACAGAGGUGGCAAGCGUUGUUCGGAAUUACUGGGCGUAAAGGGCGCGUAGGCGGCCCUGUAAGUCCCGCGUGAAAGCCCUCGGCUCAACCGAGGAACUGCGCGGGAGACUGCAAGGCUUGAGUUCGGGAGAGGGAAGUGGAAUUCCGGGUGUAGCGGUGAAAUGCGCAGAUAUCCGGAGGAACACCGGUGGCGAAGGCGGCUUCCUGGACCGACACUGACGCUGAGGCGCGAAAGCUAGGGGAGCAAACGGGAUUAGAAACCCUUGUAGUCC
rnacentral:rRNA from 1 species